ensembl:lncRNA
UUCCCAACCAAAGGAUCAAACCCAGGUCUGCUGCAUUUAGGCAAGACUCCAACCUGCAUGACCUUUCCUGAGUUUGAAAGAGCAGAUUCAAACAGUUGCUAAUCAAUGGAAGAGCAGCCAUGAAACCAACUGCAGCAAGAUUAAAGGGACCAGAGAAGCUUAUCAAGAUUAGGAGACUACCACCUGAGACCCUGCACACUCCCUCAUCUUCCCAGGAACACCAUCCUUUUGAAACUUUGCAGAAGAAAGAUGAAAGAAUGUUAUUGCCUUGAUCCUUAUUGCAUACCCCUGAACAAAUAAACUCUCUCUAUUCCCCAGUUCUUGAGGUGCUAGCCUACUGUGUUCCCCCUUUGUCUGGCAAAGAAAUAAAGCCACUCUUUUCUUCCCCU